rnacentral:rRNA from 1 species
GACGAACGCUGGAGGCGUGCUUAACACAUGCAAGUCGAACGAUGAAAUGGAGCUUGCUCCAUGGAUUAGUGGCGAACGGGUGAGUAACACGUGAAUAACCUGCCCUUAAUUUUGGAAUAACCCAGGGAAACCUGGGCUAAUACCGGAUAAGUAAACCUGUGGCAUCACAUGGUUUUGGAAAGUUUUUCGAUUAAGGAUGGAUUCGCGGCCUAUCAGCUUGUUGGUGAGGUAAUGGCUCACCAAGGCGACGACGGGUAGCCGUCCUGAGAGGGUAAACGGCCACACUGGGACUGAGAGACGGCCCAGGCUCCGACGGGAGGCAGUGGUGGGGAAUAUUGCGCAAUGGACGAAAGUCUGACGCAGCGACGCCUCGUGAGGGACGAAGGUCUUCGGAUUGUAAACCUCUUUCAGCAGGGACGAAGCGAAAGUGACGGUACCUGCAGAAGAAGCACCGGCUAACUAUGUGCCAGCCGCCGCCGUAA